rnacentral:rRNA from 1 species
CCUGACGACCAUAGCAAGGUGGUCCCACUCCUUCCCAUCCCGAACAGGACAGUGAAACGCCUUUGCGCCGAUGAUAGUGGACGGACGUCUGUGAAAGUAGGUCAUCGUCAAGC